GAUAAACGCUAGCGGCAGGCCUAACACAUGCAAGUCGAGGGGCAGCAUAGAUUGUAGCAAUACAAUUGGUGGCGACCGGCGCACGGGUGCGUAACGCGUAUGCAACCUACCCGUCACAGGGGGAUAAUCCGGAGAAAUCUGGUCUAAUACCCCAUAACAUAUGGAUCGGCAUCGGUUCAUGUUGAAAUUUUCGGGGGUGACGGAUGGGCCUGCGUAGCAUUAGCUUGUUGGUGAGGUAACGGCUCACCAAGGCGACGGUGAUUAGGGGGACUGAGAGGUUUUCCCCCCACACUGGUACUGAGCCACGGACCAGACUCCGACGGGAGGCAGCAGUGAGGAAUAUUGGUCAAUGGGCGCAAGCCUGAACCAGCCAUGCCGCGUGCAGGAUGACGGCUCUAUGAGUUGUAAACUGCUUUUGUACGAGGGUAAAGUGGGUUACGUGUAACCUUUUGAAAGUAUCGUACGAAUAAGGAUCGGCUAACUCCGUGCCAGCCGCCGCCGUAA
rnacentral:rRNA from 1 species